rnacentral:rRNA from 1 species
CACUAUCGUUAACUGAAUACAUAGGUUAACGAGGCGAACCGGGGGAACUGAAACAUCUAAGUACCCCGAGGAAAAGAAAUCAACCGAGAUUCCCCCAGUAGCGGCGAGCGAACGGGGAGCAGCCCAGAGUCUGAAUCAGCUUGUGUGUUAGUGGAACGGUCUGGAAAGUCCGACGGUACAGGGUGAUAGUCCCGUACACCAAAAUGCACAGGCUGUGAACUCGAAGAGUAGGGCGGGACACGUGGUAUCCUGUCUGAAUAUGGGGGGACCAUCCUCCAAGGCUAAAUACUCCUGACUGACCGAUAGUGAACCAGUACCGUGAGGGAAAGGCGAAAAGAACCCCGGCGAGGGGAGUGAAAAAGAACCUGAAACCGUGUACGUACAAGCAGUGGGAGCACCUUCGGGUGUGACUGCGUACCUUUUGUAUAAUGGGUCAGCGACUUAUAUUCUGUAGCAAGGUUAACCGUAUAGGGGAGCCGCAGGGAAACCGAGUCUUAACUGGGCGUUAAGUUGCAGGGUAUAGACCCGAAACCCGGUGAUCUAGCCAUGGGCAGGUUGAAGGUUGGGUAACACUAACUGGAGGACCGAACCGACUAAUGUUGAAAAAUUAGCGGAUGACUUGUGGCUGGGGGUGAAAGGCCAAUCAAACCGGGAGAUAGCUGGUUCUCCCCGAAAGCUAUUUAGGUAGCGCCUCGUGAACUCAUCUUCGGGGGUAGAGCACUGUUUCGGCUAGGGGGUCAUCCCGACUUACCAACCCGAUGCAAACUACGAAUACCGAAGAAUGUUAUCACGGGAGACACACGGCGGGUGCUAACGUCCGUCGUGAAGAGGGAAACAACCCAGACCGCCAGCUAAGGUCCCAAAGUCAUGGUUAAGUGGGAAACGAUGUGGGAAGGCACAGACAGCCAGGAUGUUGGCUUAGAAGCAGCCAUCAUUUAAAGAAAGCGUAAUAGCUCACUGGUCGAGUCGGCCUGCGCGGAAGAUGUAACGGGGCUAAACCAUGCACCGAAGCUGCGGCAGCGACACUAUGUGUUGUUGGGUAGGGGAGCGUUCUGUAAGCCUGCGAAGGUGACCUGUGAGGGUUGCUGGAGGUAUCAGAAGUGCGAAUGCUGACAUAAGUAACGAUAAAGCGGGUGAAAAGCCCGCUCGCCGGAAGACCAAGGGUUCCUGUCCAACGUUAAUCGGGGCAGGGUGAGUCGACCCCUAAGGCGAGGCCGAAAGGCGUAGUCGAUGGGAAACAGGUUAAUAUUCCUGUACUUGGUGUUACUGCGAAGGGGGGACGGAGAAGGCUAUGUUAGCCGGGCGACGGUUGUCCCGGUUUAAGCAUGUAGGCUGAUUAUCCAGGCAAAUCCGGAUAAUCAAGGCUGAGGUGUGAUGACGAGGCACUACGGUGCUGAAGUAACAAAUGCCCUGCUUCCAGGAAAAGCCUCUAAGCAUCAGGUAACAUCAAAUCGUACCCCAAACCGACACAGGUGGUCAGGUAGAGAAUACCAAGGCGCUUGAGAGAACUCGGGUGAAGGAACUAGGCAAAAUGGUGCCGUAACUUCGGGAGAAGGCACGCUGGUGUGUAGGUGAAG